rnacentral:tRNA from 2 species
GAAAAUGAUGGUUUAACCCCUUCCCUUGUUA